rnacentral:rRNA from 1 species
UACAGAGGUGGCAAGCGUUGUUCGGAAUUACUGGGCGUAAAGGGCGCGUAGGCGGCCAUCUAAGUCAGACGUGAAAUCCCCCGGCUUAACCUGGGAACUGCGUCUGAUACUGGACGGCUUGAGUAUGGGAGAGGGAUGUAGAAUUCCAGGUGUAGCGGUGAAAUGCGUAGAUAUCUGGAGGAACACCGGUGGCGAAGGCGGCGUCCUGGACCAACACUGACACUGAUGAGCGAAAGCCAGGGGAGCAAACGGG